GGCUGGAUGAGACUCAAAAAAAUGGUGGUACGUACUGGAACAAAUACUCCUGGCAUACCCAUGUCGUUGGCAGCAAAAGGUAUUUCAGUUACUAGUUCUUCCAUAUGCUAGAGGAAUUUCUUUCAACCCACCUUGAGCAGAGCUCGUGGCAUCAAUUCUUUAUUGUUUCUGUGUAAAAAAUUAAUGAGCAGGAAGGAAUAGUUCUGCCCGAUGAGCAGUUCCAAUUGAGUUCUCCCUACACAUAGUUUGACUUUUAUUUCCAAGCAUUACGUUAUCCUAGAUAUUUGAUUGGUACUCCACCUUGCAAGCAAGGAUGCUCUGAAAAUGAAACACGUGAUGUUUGAUACACCUUUGUACACCACGACUCAAGCUCUCUGCAUUUUUUGUUAAAGGUCAUCGGGCUGGGCACCUGCUGCUUAUGUGUUGUACGCCUUGGGCGUCCCUGUGCUGGUGAUGAGCGUGAUGGCCGUGCAUUGACCUGCAUCGCCUGUCCAAACUGUGCCGGCCAUGCGUCCGACGACCUCGUCCAUCCCUGAUCACCUCUUCCGCAAUCAGCCGCACAUACACAGACAUGCCUGUGCUGUAUUAUACUUGAACUUGAGAGCUUCUGAACUCUCUGAAUUUGUGUGCAUGUUUUUAUAUUGUGUCAUUGCAUAGCUCCACCACUGAAUUUGGAAAUUCAGUCAAUGCUUAAACUUGAUAAAAAAGAGCAAGAAACAGUGACAGAUUAUGUGUGUUUUUCACGGAAGUGAGCUGGGAAUUUAGAUGUUCCUUUUCAUAAUAUUAAGGGCGUCGAUCAUUCAACUAUUUAUGUUAUCCUUCGUGCUCUGACUUGAGUGAAGUUAUGUGAACUAGCAUAGUAUAUUGUAGUUUUCUGAUUUUGAGUCGUGGCAUAUAGUCCUCACACAAAGUAGUUGCAAAUAUAUUGAAGUAUAUUAUGCACAUAGUUAUCCUCCCUAAUGCCUAAACUGGUACGUUUUCAAUCUUUGUGCUGCCUACUAAACAUAAUUAUUGAAGGUCUUCCCUGACCCAUGGUCACGCGAAAGCGGUGCUGCUCCGGCAAGCUCCUCUGUCCCCCGAGCACAGUGCUGUCCAUGACGGUCUCCUCCCUCCUGUUCCCUUAGCGAGGAUGAUGUCAAUUUUUUGCGAAACAGAAAGUUAUGUAGUUCUUCAGUAUAUGUCCAUAGAAACCCAUGACAAUUUCUUCAGUAGCAGUUCAACAAAAAAUCCUGCUGUAGUUCUUGAGUAUUGUUCCAUUAGAAUUUCAUGUUAUCUAAGUAUUUUUCGUACUUGCUAUUGCAGAUAAGUGUUUGUUAGAAUUGUCAUUCUGUCAGUAAAGUACCAUUCUUCAGUAUAUGUUCUGAAAAUUUCAUCUUUUGUGUGCCUGGUGUGAAUCGUUGGUCUUCUCUCACUUUUUCUCCUGAAUUAGAGGUAGCAUGUUGCUUUUCGCACUUGAUGAAGAACAUAUCCUAAAAUGUGAAAAAAAUUGUUCCCCAA
rnacentral:lncRNA from 1 species